GUCGACAUAAUCAAACGUUUGCAAAUUGAUGAUUUGCAUGCAUUUAGGAAUUCUGAUGUUGGAUUAGAAAGUAAAGAAUCAUGUUGCUUAAACGUUGGACAUUACAUUCAUAAACCAUCUAUAUAAGCAUGACAUCUGGAAAUGUUGCAUUCUGGCAUUUUUUUGUAGAUCUGGAAAUAUUGUUUUUUUUUUGUUAGUUUAAGGUUUUGUAAAUUUUGACACACAGACGAACAUGUGCAAUGGUUGAAUAAGUGCUUGAAAUUUGUUUUUCUUUUGUUCUCGAAUUUUAUUAAUAGUAGUCAUGCCUGACAGCCUGAGUGAUUGUUUUGCUUUACAAAUAGAAUUCAUAAAAAUUGUUUUACAAGGAGUACAUGCAUGCGAUUUAUUCUGGAACUUUGUUUUGUUCACAUGUGCAUGCAUAUUAAGAUUCUGAGGAAUGAAAAAUGUUUUGCAUCGGUUUAAUUACUCUAAAACUUUUUGUGACGGUUAUAAUUUUGUUGGUGAAAAGUCACAAUUAAUAAUGUGAAAAGCUACUAGAUAUAUU
rnacentral:lncRNA from 1 species